ACGGGUGAGUAACGCGUGAGAAUUUUCCCUUUAGUGAAGAAUACCCUUGAGAAAUCAGGGUUAAUACUGCAUAAGUCCCUGCGGGGAGAAAGGUGGCCUCUUUGCUGCCGCUAAAGGAUAAGCUUGCGUACUAUUAGCUAGUUGGUGAGGUAAAGGCUCACCAAGGCAAUGAUGGUUAGCCGGCCUGAGAGGGUGUACGGCCACACUGGAACUUAGACACGGUCCAGACUCCUACGGGAGGCAGCAGUGAGGAAUAUUGCGCAAUGGGCGAAAGCCUGACGCAGCGACGCCGCGUGGAGGAUGAAGGUCUUCGGAUUGUAAACUCCUGUUAAGUGGGAAGAAAGACCUAUUUAUAAUACAGAUAGGGGAUGACGGUACCAUUAGAGAAAGCACCGGCUAACUUCGUGCCAGCAGCCGCGGUAAUACGAGGGGUGCAAGCGUUAUUCGGAAUCAUUGGGCGUAAAGGGUGCGUAGACGGCUUGUUAAGUCAACAGUUAAAUUCUCCGGCCUAACUGGAGGUCAGCUGUAGAAACUAAUAGGCUUGAGAUUGGAAGAGAGAAGUGGAAUUCUCGGA
rnacentral:rRNA from 1 species